rnacentral:rRNA from 1 species
CGAAUAAGCACCGGCUAACUACGUGCCAGCAGCCGCGGUAAUACGUAGGGUGCAAGCGUUAUCCGGAAUUAUUGGGCGUAAAGGGCUCGUAGGCGGUUCGUCGCGUCCGGUGUGAAAGUCCAUCGCUUAACGGUGGAUCUGCGCCGGGUACGGGCGGGCUGGAGUGCGGUAGGGGAGACUGGAAUUCCCGGUGUAACGGUGGAAUGUGUAGAUAUCGGGAAGAACACCAAUGGCGAAGGCAGGUCUCUGGGCCGUUACUGACGCUGAGGAGCGAAAGCGUGGGGAGCGAACAGGAUUAGAUACCCUGGUAGUCCACGCCGUAAACGGUGGAUGCUGGAUGUGGGGCCCGUUCCACGGGUUCCGUGUCGGAGCUAACGCGUUAAGCAUCCCGCCUGGGGAGUACGGCCGCAAGGCUAAAACUCAAAGAAAUUGACGGGGGCCCGCACAAGCGGCGGAGCAUGCGGAUUAAUUCGAUGCAACGCGAAGAACCUUACCUGGGCUUGACAUGUUCCCGACAGCCGUAGAGAUGCGGCCUCCCUUCGGGGCGGGUUCACAGGUGGUGCAUGGUCGUCGUCAGCUCGUGUCGUGAGAUGUUGGGUUAAGUCCCGCAACGAGCGCAACCCUCGCCCUGUGUUGCCAGCACGUCAUGGUGGGAACUCACGGGGGACCGCCGGGGUCAACUCGGAGGAAGGUGGGGAUGACGUCAGAUCAUCAUGCCCCUUACGUCCAGGGCUUCACGCAUGCUACAAUGGCCGGUACAACGGGAUGCGACAUGGCGACAUGGAGCGGAUCCCUGAAAACCGGUCUCAGUUCGGAUUGGAGUCUGCAACCCGACUCCAUGAAGGCGGAGUCGCUAGUAAUCGCGGAUCAGCAACGCCGCGGUGAAUGCGUUCCCGGGCCUUGUACACACCGCCCGUCAAGUCAUGAAAGUGGGUAGCACCCGAAGCCGGUGGCCUAACCCCUUGUGGGAUGGAGCCGUCUAAGGUGAGACUCGUGAUUGGGACUAAGUCGUAACAAGGUAGCCGUACCGGAAGGUGCGGCUG